UACGUAGGGUGCAAGCGUUGUCCGGAAUUAUUGGGCGUAAAGAGCUCGUAGGCGGUUUGUUGCGUCGGCUGUGAAAUCCCGAGGCUCAACCUCGGGUCUGCAGUCGAUACGAGCAAACUAGAGUGUUGCAGGGGAGACUGGAAUUCCUGGUGUAGCGGUGAAAUGCGCAGAUAUCAGGAAGAACACCCGUGGCGAAGGCGGUUCUCUGGAACGCAACUGACGCUGAGACGCGAAAGCGUGGGGAGCAAACAGG
rnacentral:rRNA from 1 species